GGCUCUGUGGCGCAACGGUAGCGCAUCUGACUCCAGACUAGAAGGUUGUCCGUUCGAAUCGGGUCGAGGUCA
rnacentral:tRNA from 1 species